rnacentral:Y_RNA from 1 species
AGCUGGUCUGAGUGUAGUGGUGUUUAUAACUAAUUGAUCACAACCAGUUACAGAUUCUGUUGUUCUUUCUCUACUCUCACUGCUUCACUUGACUAGCCUUAA